rnacentral:misc_RNA from 1 species
GUCGAAGGUGGGGCUGAUGACUGGGGUGAAGUCGUAACAAGGUAUCCGUACCGGAAGGUGCGGAUGGAUCACCUCCUAACAGGGAGACAACACAAUGAUUUUGAUGCCUGAGUAUUUUUAUUCUUAGGCCGAAAUCCUGUCACCUUAGGUCGAUCGGUACCUCAGCUUUGAAGUUAAGAAUCAGCAGCAAUGUUGAUUGCUUGAUGGAGAUUUUCAGUUCCUAAACUUUGUCUAGGUCACACCCCAAAAGGGAUGAGACUCCUGGGCCAUUAGCUCAGGUGGUUAGAGCGCACCCCUGAUAAGGGUGAGGUCCCUGGUUCAAGUCCAGGAUGGCCCAUUCGGUGUUGGGGGUUUAGCUCAGUUGGUAGAGCGCCUGCUUUGCAAGCAGGAUGUCAGGAGUUCGAGUCUCCUAACCUCCACUGACCGAACUUUAUCCCCCCUCCAUUCAAUGGAGUUGAGCUCGAUUGGUGUGUGAUUUAGAUGUGUCCGCUGGAUGACCCCAGCUUCCUGUCAUUCCAAGUUUUAAGUUCAAAGCUUUGAAUUUGGUUGAUAAGAUGCUGGGCUCGGAUCAAAUGAUCAAGUAAUUGAUGAUUUGAUUUGAAGUUCUAGCAGAACCUUGACAACUGCAUAGGUGAAGUCUGGAAAAACAAAGCAUCUUACAGAUGCAUUGUUUUGAGUCUAAUUUUCUGAAAGGAAGAUUAGACCCAGAACAAUGAAAAUUCUUUUGAGCAAGAGCCGAGACUCUUGAAUGUUCUUUGAUUCGUGUCGAGCGAAUCAGAGUUUGAUCUUGUUUUUAGCAAUAAAAACUUGAGAAUCUGCUUUCAACGGCGGUAAGCGUUCAAGAGGUUAAUUGGUCAAGCUACAAAGGGCUCAC